rnacentral:sRNA from 16 species
GGUCGUGUGAGGAGGGCUUCUUCACGGAGUGGAAACAAGGCAACACGCCCUACGAGAAGCCGAGA